rnacentral:rRNA from 1 species
GAUGAACGCUGGCGGCGUGCCUAAUACAUGCAAGUCGAGCGAACAGACGAGGAGCUUGCUCCUCUGACGUUAGCGGCGGACGGGUGAGUAACACGUGGAUAACCUACCUAUAUGACUGGGAUAACUUCGGGAAACCGGCGCUAAUACCGGAUAAUCUAUUGAACCGCAUGGUUCAAUAGUGAAAGACGGUUUUGCUGUCACUUCUAGAUGGUUCCGCGCCGCAUUAGCUAGUUGGUAAGGUAACGGGUUACCAAGGCAACGAUGCCUAGCCGACCUGAGAGGGUGAUCGGCCACACUGGAGCGGAGACACGGACCAGAGUCCUACGGGAGGCAGCAGUAGGGAAUCUUCCGCAAUGGGCGAAAGCAUUACGGAGCAACGCCGCGUGAGUGAUGAAGGUCUUCGGAGCGUAAAACUCUGUUAUGAGGGAAGAACAAAUGUGUAAGUAACUAUGCACGUCUUGACGGUACCUAAUCAGAAAGCCACGGCUAACUACGUG